GACUAAGGUUCGAUUCGAGCGAAAGCGAGAAAGCGUUGCCGCAGGCAACGACCCGAAGGGCGAAGCGCGCAGCGCUGAGUCAUCCUUCCCCCACCACCA
rnacentral:sRNA from 3 species